GCGGGCUUGAUGUAGCGGUAGAGCCUAUCGUCUGUAACCGUAAGGUCUUGGGUUCGAGCCCCAGCCUCUGCA
rnacentral:tRNA from 7 species